UACGUAGGGUGCAAGCGUUGUCCGGAUUUAUUGGGUUUAAAGGGUGCGUAGGCGGCCCAGUAAGUCAGUGGUGAAAUACGGCAGCUUAACUGUCGAGGUGCCAUUGAUACUGCAGGGCUUGAGUACUGAUGAGGUAGGCGGAAUUGACGGUGUAGCGGUGAAAUGCUUAGAUAUCGUCAAGAACACCGAUAGCGAAGGCAGCUUACUAAGGAGUAACUGACGCUGAGGCACGAAAGCGUGGGGAGCAAACAGG
rnacentral:rRNA from 1 species